UUCCGUCAAUUGGGUAGGCUGCUCGGUUCUCACCGCGCAGUUAGACGCAACCCUGACGCAACCCUUAUUGGAAUUGGAAAAUGAUGAUUUCUUCACCAUGUCACUUUCCUCUAUGGAUCUGUUGGGUUUAAUUGUUUUCGUACAGUUUAAAAAGCGAAACAAUGUAUGUCAGGGAGCCUACCCCCAUUUU
rnacentral:telomerase_RNA from 1 species